GAUGAAGAACGCAGCGAAAUGCGAUAAGUAAUGUGAAUUGCAGAAUCCAGUGAAUCAUCGAAUCUUUGAACGCACAUUGCGCCCGCCAGUAUUCUGGCGGGCAUGCCUGUUCGAGCGUCAUUACAACCCUCAGGCCCCCGGGCCUGGCGUUGGGGAUCGGCGGAAGCCCCCUGUGGGCACACGCCGUCCCUCAAAUACAGUGGCGGUCCCGCCGCAGCUUCCAUUGCGUAGUAGCUAACACCUCGCAACUGGAGAGCGGCGCGGUCAUGCCGUAAAACACCCAACUUCUGAAUGUUGACCUCGAAUCAGGUAGGAAUACCCGCUGAACUUAAGCAUAUCAAUAAGCGGAGGA
rnacentral:misc_RNA from 1 species